rnacentral:misc_RNA from 1 species
GAUGAAGAACGUAGUGAAAUGCGAUAAGUAAUGUGAAUUGCAGAAUUCAGUGAAUCAUCGAAUCUUUGAACGCACAUUGCGCCCGCCAGUAUUCUGGCGAGCAUGCCUGUUCGAGCGUCAUUUCAACCAUCAAGCCCCAGGCUUGUGUUGGAGCCCUGCGGCUGCCGCAGCCUCCCAAAACCAGUGGCGGGCUCGCUAUCACACCGAGUGCAGUAGUUUACUCUUCGCUCAGGGCGUGUGGCGGGUGCUAGCCGUGAAACCCCCCACUUCUCCAGGUUGACCUCGGAUCAGGUAGGAAUACCCGCUGAACUUAAGCAUAUCAAUAAGCGGAGGA